AUUGAACGCUGGCGGCAGGCCUAACACAUGCAAGUCGAGCGGAUGAAGGGAGCUUGCUCCUGGAUUCAGCGGCGGACGGGUGAGUAAUGCCUAGGAAUCUGCCUGGUAGUGGGGGAUAACGUCCGGAAACGGGCGCUAAUACCGCAUACGUCCUGAGGGAGAAAGGGGGGGAUCUUCGGACCUCACGCUAUCAGAUGAGCCUAGGUCGGAUUAGCUAGUUGGUGGGGUAAAGGCCUACCAAGGCGACGAUCCGUAACUGGUCUGAGAGGAUGAUCAGUCACACUGGAACUGAGACACGGUCCAGACUCCUACGGGAGGCAGCAAUGGGGAAUAUUGGACAAUGGGCGAAAGCCUGAUCCAGCCAUGCCGCGUGUGUGAAGAAGGUCUUCGGAUUGUAAAGCACUUUAAGUUGGGAGGAAGGGCAGUAAGUUAAUACCUUGCUGUUUUGACGUUACCAACAGAAUAAGCACCGGCUAACUUCGUG
rnacentral:rRNA from 1 species